rnacentral:rRNA from 1 species
UACGUAGGUGGCGAGCGUUGUCCGGAUUUACUGGGCGUAAAGAGCGCGCAGGCGGCUGGGCAAGUCCGAUGUGAAAGCUUCCGGCUUAACUGGAAAAUUGCAUCGGAAACUGCUCAGCUUGAAGGUGGGAGAGGGUAGCGGAAUUCCAGGUGUAGCGGUGAAAUGCGUAGAUAUCUGGAGGAACACCGGUGGCGAAGGCGGCAUCCUGGACCAACACUGACGCUGAGUGAGCGAAAGCCAGGGGAGCAAACGGG